rnacentral:rRNA from 1 species
UUCCCGGUGUAGUGGUGAAAUGCGUAGAUAUCGGGAGGAACACCCGUGGCGAAGGCGGCCUUCUGGNCUGUUCCUGACGCUGAAGGCGAAAGCUAGGGGAGCGAACGGGAUUAGAUACCCCGGUAGUCCUAGCUGUAAACGAUGGAUGCUGGGUCUGGGGGGUGUAAAUUCCCUCUGUGCCGAAGCAAACGCGUUAAGCAUCCCGCCUGGGGACUACGGCCGCAAGGCUAAAACUCAAACGAAUUGACGGGGGCCCGCACAAGCAGCGGAGCGUGUGGUUUAAUUCGAUGCUACACGAAGAACCUUACCUGGGUUUGACAUGCACGUGGUAGGGAACCGAAAGGGGACCGACCUUCGGGAGCGUGCACAGGUGCUGCAUGGCUGUCGUCAGCUCGUGCCGUGAGGUGUCGGGUUAAGUCCCGUAACGAGCGCAACCCUUGCCCUUAGUUACAAGUGUCUAAGGGGACUGCCCGGGACAACUGGGAGGAAGGUGGGGAUGACGUCAAGUCAGCAUGGCCUUUAUAUCCAGGGCUACACACACGCUACAAUGGCCGGUACAAUAGGUUGCGAAGUCGUGAGGCGGAGCCAAUCCUCAAAGCCGGUCUCAGUUCGAAUUGCAGUCUGCAACUCGACUGCAUGAAGCUGGAGUUGCUAGUAAUCGCAGGUCAGCUAUACUGCGGUGAUACGUUCCCGGGCCUUGUACACACCGCCCGUCACGUCAUGGAAGCUGGCAACGCCUGAAGCCGGUGAGCUAACCCGAAAGGGAGCAGCCGUCGAGGGUGGGGCUGGUAACUGGGACGAA